AGAAGAAGAGUAGGGGCGACUCCCCACUCUCAAACCCUAAAAACUCAAUAAACUUGCAAAUUGAAGGCUCAAUCCAAGUCAAAAUCGAAAUUAAAGUGUAGAUUAUUGAUCCUCAUCACAAGAGGAUUACAAGUUGGCGCUUAAACAAGCCAGGUGAAGCUUGGAGUGAAAGCGGAUCAAACGAGUCAAGCAUAGAAGAAAAGCGUAGCUCGGAUGCAAGGUGAAUGUCGAGAGUGCACGGAUGGAGAUCAAGCGUCGAGCAAGAACCGAACACGAAUACGAAAUAAGCUUCCGCGCUAU